GCUUAGUAAUAAUAGGUGAUUGUUUUUU
rnacentral:misc_RNA from 1 species